AACCUAACGCAAGAAGGGGAAAAAGAAAAAGGAUCUUCAACAGUUGAAGCUGAAAAAUCCGUAGUGGGGGCAGAAGGAAUCGUAAAUUUUUUAUGUAAUUGGGCGGUGUGUGGCAACAAUGGCGUUUUUGGAUGGUAAUUACCGUUCGACUUAGCCUCGCUGGCUCAUCAACUACAAAACCGCCGCACAUGCUCCCAAGAGCUGUGCAUUUCCUCAGCCUAUGCCCCAUUCAGACCCUUUUUCAUUUUUGGGAGACACCGUUUUGCGGAAUUCUGAUUCUGGUUCUGGGUACUUAUUCUUUGCCUUCGAUUGGGUUUCUAGAUUGAACAAAAUGGUGGGCAUUUCUAAGAACUGAAGAGGGUGCAUUGACUUGAUCGAGAUUAAGCGCCACUGUGGUUCUAGUGAGCAAACCAAUCGAUAUACUGGAAGUUAUUGUGUCUUUUGAUUCAAUCUGGGUCGGUUCCGGUUGUUGAUUUCGCGUUGAAUUGGGGUUAGUAAUCCGUGAAUAUGAGGCGGCGGCCUGCCGACUUUCGCCGCCCGGUUCGACGGAGGUUUUCGCAUUGGAUCUGGGCGCUUUUUGGGCUUUUCACAAUCGUAGGACUCCUUUUGUUUGUAGUUCACCAUAACCAUAGCGAAGAUCGUAUCGAACAGUCCGUCCUGGAGAGAAAUUCAAGAAUUGAACGAGUUGCUCAUGACAGAUUAAAUUUCACUGAAGAAAUAUCGAGCGCUACAUCGUUUUCCCGACAAUUGGCAGAGCAAAUCACACUUGCCAAAGCUUAUGUAGUUAUCGCCAAAGAGCAUAGCAAUCUUCAUCUUGCUUGGGAGCUGAGCUCUAAAAUCAGAAGUUCCCAGCUACUGCUUUCAAAAGCUGUGAUGAGAGGGGAACCCAUCACUCUAGAGGAAGCAGAGCCCAUAAUCAAAAGCCUAUCUUCUUUGAUAUUCAAGGCACAAGAUGCUCAUUACGAUAUUUCGACCACAAUAAUGACGAUGAAGUCUCAUAUUCAAGCCCUUGAAGAGCGGGCUAAUGCUGCCACGGUGCAAAGCACGGUGUUCGGGCAAGUUGCAGCGGAAGCUCUUCCGAAGAGUCUUCACUGCCUAAAUGUGAAACUCAUAGCUGAUUGGAUGAAAUAUCCUUCCUUUCAAAAAAUGGCAGAUGAGAGGAAAAACUCGCAGCGAGUCGUGGAUAAUAAUCUGUAUCAUUUUUGCAUAUUUUCGGACAACGUUUUGGCAACGUCUGUCGUUGUCAAUUCCACUGUUUCUAAUGCCGAUCAUCCGAAACAGUUGGUCUUCCACAUUGUCACGAACGGGAUCAACUAUGGAGCUAUGCAGACUUGGUUCCUUAGCAACGAUUUUAAAGGAUCCACAAUAGAAGUCCAAAAGAUUGAGGACUUCUCUUGGCUGAAUGCCUCUUAUGCUCCUGUUCUGAAACAAAUGCUCGAUCCGAAUACACGAGCGUAUUAUUUUGGAGGGCUUCAGGAUUUGGCAGUUGAUCCGAAACUGCGAAACCCGAAGUAUAUGUUGUUGUUGAACCAUCUUCGGUUUUACAUUCCAGAGAUCUAUCCACAGCUAGAGAAGGUAGUUUUUCUUGACGACGAUGUCGUAGUCCAGAAAGACCUCACACCACUAUUUUCUGUUGAUUUGCAUGGAAACGUGAAUGGAGUGGUCGAAACCUGUCUCGAAGCGUUUCAUCGUUACUACAAGUACCUGAACUUCUCUAACUCAAUCAUAAGCUCAAAGUUUGAUCCACAGGCGUGUGGAUGGGCGUUUGGAAUGAAUGUUUUCGAUCUAAUUGCAUGGAGGAAAGCAAACGUAACAGCUCGGUAUCAUUAUUGGCAGGAACAAAAUGCAGACGGUUUGCUUUGGAAGCCAGGGACUCUUCCUCCUGGUUUAUUAACCUUCUAUGGGCUAACGGAACCACUCGACCGGAGAUGGCAUGUCUUAGGAUUGGGUUACGACCUAAACAUCGACAACCGUUUGAUCGAGAGUGCAGCUGUGAUUCACUUCAAUGGGAACAUGAAGCCUUGGUUGAAGCUGGCCAUAACCAGGUACAGGCCUCUCUGGAAACGUUACUUGAAUCAAAGCCACACUUAUUUUGAAGAUUGCAUAACAAGUUAAAACUGUAGUACCAACAUCUUCCACCAAUGCUUUUCAUUGUAGAUUCAAAAAGUAGACAAUUUUGAGUAUGGUAGGAGAUUUUAUUUACUCCACCCCAGUUUCUUGAGAAGAGAAAGAAAAAGGGAUGAAUUUAAACACUAGAGAA